UACGUAGGGGGCUAGCGUUGUCCGGAUUUAUUGGGCGUAAAGAGCGUGUAGGCGGCCAGGUAGGUCCGGUGUGAAAACUCGAGGCUCAACCUCGAGAUGUCAUCGGAAACCAUCUGGCUAGAGUCCGGAAGAGGAGAGUGGAAUUCCUGGUGUAGCGGUGAAAUGCGCAGAUAUCAGGAAGAACACCAAUGGCGAAGGCAGCUCUCUGGGACGGUACUGACGCUGAGGCACGAAAGCCAGGGGAGCAAACGGG
rnacentral:rRNA from 1 species